rnacentral:tmRNA from 1 species
GGGGGCGCACUGGCUUCGACGGGAGUGGUCAGCGUCCUGUGAGACGAGCCGAGUUUACUGGAGACUCGUAAAACGCCGGUACCAAAACACACACGCCAAUGAUAGAGAGUUGGUGGCCGCCUAACUAAAGGUGGCUCGUCGGCCCGGGUAGCCUACGACCCGGUGUCCGGCGUCGCUUAGUAGGCUCCACCUCCUGAGUCCUGGUCCCGGGGCUCUUGAGGGAAACGCAACGGGCUAGCCGCUCUGCGACGCCCCGGUUCGCAGAGUCCGGCGAAAACAAACCGGGUGCGACGCUCGUACAAUCUCACGGACGACGCGCUCGCGGACGCGGGUUCAAUUCCCGCCGCCUCCACUA